rnacentral:rRNA from 1 species
UAAUGCCUAGGAAUCUGCCUGGUAGUGGGGGACAACGUUUCGAAAUGAACGCUAAUACCGCAUACGUCCUACGGGAGAAAGCAGGGGACCUUCGGGCCUUGCGCUAUCAGAUGAGCCUAGGUCGGAUUAGCUAGUUGGUGAGGUAAUGGCUCACCAAUGCGACGAUCCGUAACUGGUCUGAGAGGAUGAUCAGUCACACUGGAACUGAGACACGGUCCAG